rnacentral:lncRNA from 1 species
UUUUUUCUUGGGCCUUUUGUAAAUAUUUGAAAUAGCUAUUCAUUAACAGUUGCACAUUUAUUCAGUCCUGUUGUACGGCUUGUGAACUGGAAUUAGCUUUUAUUUUAUUUUUUCUAUCUGUUGGCCAGACUAGAGAAACCCUGCUGUUUGGGUUCGAAAUCUGUCAAGGUUCAAAUUAUCCUCCAACUGAGAGCUAAUCAAGGGUGUCUGACCUGGUCUGCAAAUAAACUAGGAACAAAAGUGGGUUUAUUUUUUCUUUCUUCGGAGCACUGAUUCUCAAAAAGUAAAGCCAAAUGAGAGUGGGUCACAAACGCAAUUGCCUAAAAUUAAAAACAGACACAACGGGCAACUGAAGAUGAACUGGAUUUACUUGGCAUUUCUGAAGUACCCAGUUUUCAGGCAAUAAAUUCAUCUUUCAGGAGGAAUUGGUUUCCAAACACAUUUCAAAUUAAAAUUCACAGUUUGUUUAAUGAAAGUCUGUGGCGUGAGAACAUAGAUUUUAGGCAAUCAAGCUACUCUGAUGGGUACACUGAAACUUUAUCUUCAUGGAUCCAAAUCCUCAAGUUAAGAGUUACAUGUAAUAGUAGAACUAAUCUUUCUGCAUCAUUAACAUCAUUACUAUAUUCAUUCCACAUACAUUUCUAAAAUAUGAAAUCCCAUGUCCUUCUCUUAAACAUUUUUAAUUUCCAAACUUGGGAAAAAAAAAAAAAUAGGUGUUUUUUACAAAUUAAGCAGAGGAAGUUUUUUGUGGGUUUUUGUUGUUGUUUUUUUUUUUUUGCUUUUUAGGGCCACACCUGUGGCAUAUGUAAGUUCCCAGGGAGCAGCCCUAGAAAAGGCAAAAAGACAAAAUUAAAAAUAAAAAUGAAAUAAAAUAAAAUGUAAUAUCUAGCCCUUUGGCAGACCUACUGAAUAGGGAAUCUGGCCAGAUAUUUGCAUUUUGACCACACACUCCAAAGGUCUCGAGGUUAUUCUUAGAGACAGUAAAGCUGAAGACUUGCUUCAUGGAGGAUUACUAUCGCGCCAUCAUUUGCCUUCCCUCGCUAAAAUUCAACAAAUCAAAAAGAUCUAUGGGGAGUGUAUGAUCAUCCAACCACUCAUUCCUUCCCUUAUUCGUUCAAUUCAUUCAUCCAUCAGAUCUUUCUCAUUCUGCCCCAAUUAUAUUUUCACUGUUUAAGUCCUUCUACCCACAGGUUCUCACCCUUCUUUGGCUGAUAGUACCAGAAAUGAACUAAAGGGCAUAGUUUUUAAAGUCAGCAAUCUAAAGUAUACUUUUCUUUCUUAUAUUACAAAUAACAAGAAAUGUGUUGGAACUCACCAAGAGAAAUAAAAAACAUAACUGAGAGCAACAAAUAAAAAGAAAUACAGAAAUUUAUAACCUCUGCUGAACAGCCAAGGUCCCACUAACAAACAUUUUUUUUCACGCAGAAAAUUGUGCUUGCCGUACCUGACAUUGUGCAAGUAUGUUUACUGCAAUUUAAUAUCCACACAAGCAGGAGAAGAAAUUUAAUAAUUUUUCAGCUGGAAUGAAUUGACAGCCAGUGUUAGAAAACUGCAGACUCUGCAGAAUCAAUAAAAGCUGCUGGCAUCACAAAGUAGUACUUUUGCCCAGAAAACAUCUCACAAAGGUCAGGUUUACAAACCACCAGGUAGCAGUAUCACUUUCACAUCUUUCCAGUGCUAUUAAAAUUCCAUUAAACAACCUUCCAAAACUAACUUGCAGCCUUUAAAGUUCACCAAAAUGAUCCCAGAGACAGAUCAGUCUCGGUUUAAACUCUGAAAGCAAACCCCUGGUUAACUUUUGUCUCCUUGUCACCAAAAUUCAUUUGCAGAAUUAUUUCACUAAAAAAAAAAAAAAAAUUAGAGCAAAUAUUGAUUUGUGUCUAGAAGUGUUGACCUAUGUGCAUAUACUCAUUUGGUAAAAUGACGGAUGCCUGUUAACUCUCAGAAAAUAAUUUCCCAAAGUAAAUUAUUUCUCUGUUGCAAAUCUUGGAAGGCCACAACCACCGAAUAUCUGGUGUCGUAAAAUCGAGACUGUGUUAUGAGAUACAGUACUCAAUUGUGCCUGAAGAGCAGCUGAAAUAAAGCAAGAUCUCUUGCCCACCUUAGAAAUUAAGAUUUUCCAUACUAUGUUUUCAUUAUAGGUUCCAGGUGGCAUAUAGAAUUUCAUUGAGCAUAAUCAAUUCAGGAUUAACCACUCAUUUAACAUUUACUGAGGACCUACUAAACCCACAUAUGCACUGUCACCCAUGCCUGAACCCACACCCUCUUGGCUCGUUCUCCCAGUGACCUGAAACACAGAUGGAAGGAGGGUGGAACCGUGUUGCUGAGGAGGAGGAGGUUUCAUCUGAGCAGAUGCCAAGCAAGAGCCUUCAGUCCUUCAGGUUCCCUUCAAAGGGCACACUCUUCAUUAUUUGCUUAUUUGAUCUCAAAAGCAGAUGGAUUCACACUCAAUCAAAACAGAAUACGGGCACCUUAGGACCUUGACAGACAGAAAAGAACUCUGCUGUGCUACUCAAACCAAAUGCCUGGCUGAAAGAAGUGGGUUUAGAGUAGAAAAUGGGCAGGCUACUUGUUCCCCUAAGUCAGUGGUCUCCAUAUUUUAGGAAACCACUUUUCUGAUUCAGUUGAAAAAAUUUAAAAAUGCAUUCCCACAUCUUCCGAAUCCAAUCAUCUGUUGAUGGACAU